AAUCAUUCGCACAGUUUAGGUGCUCUUACAUAGCGUAAGAGGUAACAGGGAAUCGAGUGCAAAUCUCGAGCGGUCCAGCCACUGUAAACAGGGAGUUUUCUAUCUUAUCGUCACUCAAAACGGGGAAGGCGGUAGAAAAUGAUGAUCUCAAGCCAGGAGACCUACCUAUUCUGUACACUUGAC
rnacentral:ncRNA from 2 species